AAGGAUUUAUCAGGAGAACAAUGAGUUGAGCUGUGAGCCACAGGUGUAGGUACUCACUGUGGAUGGGCAGUGGCAGAGUAUCAAGGGCUGUACUUGUUCAGAUCAAAUGAGGAGAGGAGAAAGAAGGAGAAGGGACCUACAAUGGCCAGCCAGUCUAUCUGCAAUCAGGUCUUGGAGGGUGCAAGCAGCACCUCUCCAUGUGUAACAUCCAGCUGGGCCUGCAUUGAAGGAUAGAAGAAAAGGCUGAAGUCCUUCUGCUGUACCUUGAAGCCAGCUCCCAGCCCAUGUCUGACCCCAUCAUGGACUCAGGGAAAAAAACCAUUUGGGUGCUAGAGUGUUUGCUUUAUGGAGUGAACAGGAUAGACCUGCUUUGCAUGUGGGUCACCUUACUGGGAAGCCAGCUGUUCCCAGUACAGCACUGACUCGUUAAUUGUAGAGACAGGUGAUUCACAAAUGAGGUGGGAGACUGGAUGAAGAGUCACUGCUCCUCCAGAAAAUGAAAUUCAUCACUUAAAAAGUCAACUGGCUGGCUGCUGACAGGUAUAGAGGUAUCCUGAACUGCCCUCAAGGAAAAUUAUCAGGACAAGGUUAUGCAAAUCAAGUUGAACCUCACUGAUCUACAUGACUGUGGAGCAGGGGAUCCAUGUAGGAACUGCCCUGAAGGCAGGUUGGAAGGGGAACCAAUUUCUAGCUAGGAAAUGGUCAGAGCAGCUGGUGGAGGUAAAUUCUUCUGGUGGCACCAGUGAGAACAGCUUGGUCAGGUUGUGAAUCUCUGUCUUGCUGUACAGUCAUUAAGAGUCCACAUCAGUACCAUUGCUUUUAUUAUUAGACAAAUUCAUAAACUUAAAAAAAGAAAAAAAAAAGGUAGUAGAACCAAGUUUACUUUCCUUAAACUUAAACCUUAAGUCAGAUUAACUGACUCUAAUUAUCUCACCUAGUUUUAAUUCUUUAUUAAUCCUGUGCUAUAUCAGCUGCUCCAUCACUUGGCCCAGGAGUGAUCUCAGGCUUCUCUCUCUUCCUCAAAGGACUGUAUGAUGCCAUUCCAGUUGCAUUUGUCUAAUUUUGUGAGUCCAUGCCUUGAGACUCUGAAAUUUGUUUUGCAAAACCACUGCACAAUCACAGUUGCCAACAGGAUCUGGGCUUCAAAAAUGCAAAAUGCUGCACUGUACUCUAGAAUGUUAAACUGCUGCAAGCUGCAAGCACCCAAAACAUCAAGGUUUUUACCUUAACCUAUCUGCCUCUGAGAUUACCAAUAUCAAAAGAAGGUAAUAAACAUUCCCCUUACAGAGACACCAUGAAAAUAAAUGCAUCAAUAUUUUUGAAGCACUUGGAUACUUCAAAGGGGAGAAUUAUAAGUCCCAUGAUGACAUUAAUCAUUAGUUUUUGUGAGCAGGGUGGAAGAUACUAAAUUAAAUAAAUCAUGGGAAUCCAUAUCAAACAAAGAGAAAACAAAGUAUUGAAAUGAUUCUCAUUAAGACACAGAUGCUCAAAGGUAUUUUAAGCACUGAGAAUUAAGCUUCUUACGUGAGCAUCUAUUGUUUUUUAUUUACUUUUUUUUAAACUGAACUAAACAGGAGAUCUGCUAGAAAAAUUGCCAGCAAUUAUGUUAUUAUAGGUUGUAGCAUAAUGCACUAUUCAAUAAAGUUUGCAUCAGAAUGUAUGUGCACCAGAUCUAGGACACAAAUUGACAUUGCCCAAGCAAUCUUAGUUUCAGCAUUUACCAAUGUCACAUUGCUUGACUUUGCAAAACAUGCAAUUUUUCUCAAUAAUUAGUGUACAAAUAAUUUUCUCUGGUUUUAGGAUAAUACCCAAAAUCAUCCACAUUCCUUCAUGUGCUCACAUCUGUAGGAGACGGGAUGGGAACCCUUCUCUUGCUUCAUCCCUCCCUAUACGGGGUACAUACCUCUGGCAGCAGAGUAAAUGACACAAAUAAUUGGUUGUCAUCUUUUUUGAAUCAGCAUAGGAGGGACAGAACAUUUUGCCAGUAAGUUUCACCAGUGUUUGCUGACAUCAAAACAACAGUAGAAAUCAGGCAUUGUUAGUUCAAUCAGGAUCAUAAGAGAGCACACUGAAAUAAGCACAGGCUUUUGUAGCUGCUCCUCAGGCGGCUUCGCCCCUUUUACCACUUUCAACUCAUGCUUCUUUCUUUUGGUUUAUCUUACCUCACAGCCAGC